GUCUUCGUAGCGCAAUUGGCUAGCGCGUUUGGCUGUUAACCAAAAGGUUGGAGGUUCGAACCCUCCCAUGAGCG
rnacentral:tRNA from 1 species